rnacentral:rRNA from 1 species
UACGGAGGAUGCGAGCGUUAUCUGGAUUUAUUGGGUUUAAAGGGUGCGUAGGCGGACGCUUAAGUCAGCGGUAAAAUUGCGGGGCUCAACCUCGUCGAGCCGUUGAAACUGGGUGCCUUGAGUGGGCGAGAAGUACGCGGAAUGCGUGGUGUAGCGGUGAAAUGCAUAGAUAUCACGCAGAACUCCGAUUGCGAAGGCAGCGUACCGGCGCCCUACUGACGCUGAAGCACGAAGGCGUGGGUAUCGAACAGG